GCAAGAACAAAUCACAAAUGGAUCCAAACAAAACAGGCACAUUCCUCCCCAAAAAGAUUAAGAUCUCCCUGGAUAAUUCACACCAAAAAUAUCAAAAGAUCCAAAAUAGAGAGGGGAAAAAUAUUAGAGCACCAUAAAUAAUCCAAAUCCAUAAAAUAAGUACGUUAUUUAGCGGAUCGUGUAAUAACAAAUAAAGGUUGGCGUCGUUUCAACGACGUAUACCGGAUCAACGCCAGAACCCAUAUUCCGGCCAGAUAUGCAAAUCAAUAGGUGAAAAACAAGAAAAUAUGAACCAAAGGAAGUGAGAGGAGAUUGCCGCGAUGGUGAUGGUUCACCAGCGGCAGUGGAGCGAUGGGGGGUGCGGCUGACGUGUGGUGGCUGUGGCGGGGAAGAAAUCCAUGUGGAGGUGGCACGUGAGAUCGGAUGAACUAUUGGUAUGUACGGAGAAGACGAAAGCUUAAAAAUGGAAACUAUGUAGUUGGCGUCUGUAUAUAUAUUUAUAUGUGUGUCAUUGUUGUUGAUGGUAAAAAAUAAAAUAAAAAUGGAGGUUGUUUUCUGUGUAUGCGUGUGUUUGUGUGUUUUUAUAUAUAUUUUUGUGUAUGUUUUGAAGAGAAAAAUAGAAUAAAUAAAAUAUGCUUGUAUAUUUAUGAAUAUGUAUGUGGGUUUGCAAAGGAAAAAUGUUUAUGAGUUGUAAUAAAUAAAUACAUAUAUAUUUUGAAAGAGAGAAAAAAAUGAACAAAAAAUGUGUCCUCCCACCACUUAUUUAUACAAAUGGAU
rnacentral:lncRNA from 1 species